UCGACAUCUCAAUAUUCAAAUAAAACUACGAUUUAAUUCAGUGAUUAUUUUCCAAAAAAUAUAGUGAAUCUUACAUCCGGUUUAAUAACGAGGAAAAUCUUUGUUUAUUGUAUGGUGAGAACACGUGGGGUGGUUGUGUAUUUUAAUUUAUGAAAGGAAUAAGUGAUAUUACUUUUUUUACUUUUUAAUACUAUGGACAUGUUUGAAUUAACUAUUUGGAAAGGUGAUUGGGGUUUACCAUCAGUUGACACGGAAUGCUUGCAGGUUUUGGUUUAUGCCAAAUUUAAUGGUAUACCUUUGAAAAUCAAUGCAGCUGGUAAUCCAUUCAAUAGCAAUUUACCCAUAUUAAAAUAUAAUAAUUAUACAUUUACUAAAGUCAAGGAUAUAAUAGAAGUUUUUAGAGAAAAUAAUUAUAAUACAGAACAAAGCUUAAGUCGAAAAGAAUGUGCGAAGAUUAUGGCUUACGAUAUUAUGUUGAAAGAAAAAUUAUUCCCAGCAUUACAGUUUAUUUGGUGGGUAGAUGAGAAAAACGUGAAUGAAUUAAUAAGACCUUGGUAUUGUAAAGCAAUGCCAUUCCCAUUUAAUUUUUAUUAUCCAGGAAAAUUCGAACGGCAAGCUCGUGUUAUAUUUGAAGCUUUGUACCCUGUAGAAGAUGAUAUGUCUAUUAUAGAAAAUAAGGUCUAUUCUGAAGCGCAGAAAUGCUUGACACUGCUAUCUACAAGUCUUGGAGAAUCACUAUAUUUUUUGAAUGAGAAACCUACUCUGUUGGAUGCUGUUGUAUAUUCUUAUUUAGCACCAUUGCUCAAAGCUCCUUUACCAAAUCCAGCAUUACAAAAUCAUCUAAAAGCUUGUACAAAUCUGGUAACGUUCGUAGCCCGCAUAUCUGAAAGAUAUUUUUCAAACGAAUGUCACGAAUAUAAAACCAAAGAAAACGCUCAAAACGUCAAACAAUAUACACAUAAUGAAUUUCCUAACAAGAGACGAACACAAUUAGUCGCUGGAUUUUUUGUUACUUUGAUGAUGGCAACUUACGCAUUUUCGACUGGAAUAUUAGAGAAGAUGGAUGGAAAUGAACUUUAAUACACAUUUGAAGAUCCGUAGAACUUGCAGAAAAGGAUUCUAAAGAAUGAUCAUGUUAAGCAAAAUUGAUGCGGAAUAUUAAAAUAUAUUUUACACGGAAUAAAAAUGUAUCAGCAAAGAACAGUGAAAUUUCGGAUAUACCUGCGGAAGAUUCCUUUACUAACAAUGAAUAAAAUGAGGAAAUUGGAAAUAUCACUUCAUUGGAAAUAUAAGUUUUACUUAACAUUAAU